CCCUUAGAUGUUCUGGGCUGCACGCGUGUUACAAUCGGGAGUACAACAAGAUUGCAAAUCCUAGUGGAUGAGUGGUUCUUCGAAAUUUUCUGAAGACUGGGAUAGUUGAUUGAAAUUAUUCAACUCGAACGAGGAAUUCCUUGUAAUUGUAAUUCAUUAUAUUGUAAUGAAUACGUCCCUGCCCUUUGUACACACUGCCCGUCGCUCCUACCGAUUGAACGAUCCGGUGAAUUAUUUGGAGUAGCUCUGGAAGUUGCAGAACUUCCUAUGUCACGAAAUUUUGUAAACCUUAUCGUUUAGAGGAAGGAAAAGUUGUAACA
rnacentral:rRNA from 1 species